GCUUGCUUCAACAGAACAUAUACUAAAAAUUGGAACGAUACAGAGAUCAGCAUGGCACUUGCACAAGGAUGAUGUGCAAAUUCACGAAGCAUUCCAUAUUUUU